rnacentral:rRNA from 1 species
UACGUAGGGUGCAAGCGUUGUCCGGAAUUAUUGGGCGUAAAGGGCUCGUAGGCGGUCCAUCGCGUCGGGAGUGAAAAGCUGGGGCUUAACCCCAGUCCUGCUUCCGAUACGGGUGGACUAGAGGUAGGUAGGGGAGAACGGAAUUCCUGGUGUAGCGGUGAAAUGCGCAGAUAUCAGGAGGAACACCGGUGGCGAAGGCGGGACUCUGGGCCGAUACUGACGCUGAGGAGCGAAAGCGUGGGGAGCGAACAGG